UAUGAGGCGUCAUCUUACCGCUGAGCUCCCACUUCUACCUCGAGAGCCACCCCUGACUUCAACACAGCACCAAAGGCUUAACUGAAGAAAGUGAUCAGCUGUGAGAGUUGGGGAGGAGCUAGGAGGACAAAGGACCCUGGCAGAAAGAAAGCUGGGAUUCAAGGUUACCUUGAGGCUAGCCUUGUCUGUCUGUCGCGGGCGUGAGGACCGGAGGAACGUGGAGUCACCAACGGACAGUGGGCCCAUUGCUGAGGGCAACCCCACGCGGCUCGCUGAACGUGGAGAGGCAGACCUGCUGCCUCCAUAGAACCCUCACAGCAGUGUUCUAAGUGUUCUAGUGUCUAUGAUGCAUGCGGGCAGGUUCUCUGCAGGCUCCCAAGGGAGAAAGGUAAACACCAACCCAG